rnacentral:lncRNA from 1 species
GCCCCGUUUGUCUUAGCUAGACUAUUUAAAACAGAUAGCGCUCACACCCUUAAUCCUAUACCCUUAGGCCUAACAUUAUACCACCAAUCAAUUUUGGCAUCACACUCUCUAGAAGUAGGUAAGUAGAGAAACAGAGAAGUUCAAGUUCUCAUAAUGAACAGCAAAGUUCUUUAGCAAACAGCAGAACCUGAGUACAGCAAUCUGACUCCAGAACCUCAGUUCCUAACUGUUCCACCAUGCUGGCUUCUAUGGGUACGCAUUAGAUUGUUCCUUCCGUGAUCUCACUCGGGGGUGAGCUAUUCAGUCGGAGAAAUAGAGCUCCGGGGACAGCAACCUGAAAUCAAUCAAAAGCAUUGUGAGAACAAGAGAUUUCGAAGCAACCGGCCAGGUCUCCAGGAAGUCACUCAGGCAGGAGCUGGGGAACUGUACAAAAUGGCGACAGGGGUGGAGCAAGAGGAUCUGUGAAGGACGUGAAGCUUUGACCAGGCUGUGCGGCAGGCUGUAUUAUGAUUGGCUGGAGGCACUGUUCUGCUGCCUUCUCUGUGUCCUGUGACAUCACUUACGUGUCUCACCGUUAGCAGACUCUCAACCCCCAGCCUUUCUUUCUGUCUAGAUCCAGGAACAGGAGGGCCACACCCAACAGCUAUAAAGGCAGGAAGCAUCCACAAGACUGAAGCACAAAAACAUGAAAACCAAGUGUGUGUGCACAACGUUCCAACUAACCGUCAUGCAGAAGUCUGUUUCACACACAUCAGAUGCCUACAUGGUGUUAUAGACCUAUAAUCCCAGCUGUCUGGAGGCUGAGGCAGUAGGAUCUCAAGUUCUAGACCAGCCUGAGCUACAUGGUGACCAGUCUCAAACAACCAAAGGAAAAUUUAAAAAAACAUAUAUAUACUCUUUUCUAUUUUUCUCUUUCUUUUUAAUUUAAAAACCUUUUUCUCAUUUAUACAAGGAUAUAUAGGAUUUCAAGGGCC